rfam:Salmo salar isolate Sally breed double haploid chromosome ssa19, whole genome shotgun sequence.
UUAAUGCUGUGAUAGUAAGUCGCUCUGGAUAAGAGCGUCUGCUAAAUGACGUAAA